rnacentral:lncRNA from 1 species
AGUCACAAUUCCUCUGAGACCCUGAGAUCCUGGUGUGACCAAGCUUCUGGGAUGCUGGGAUCCUGGAAUCCUAAGAUCCUGGGCAUGUUAAAGCGCCUGGAAAUGGUACCUCCUCUGGAGACCAAGGGGCUGUCUGCUGUGUUCAAAAUCAAGAUAAAGAGCUCUUUAGAAGUUGGUUAUAUCUUACUGACUGACACUGACUUCACCUUCAUGAUUUUCUGCCAGCUGCAUCUCUAACAGAUGAGUGUUGAUCUCUGUUACACUAAAGUGUAUGUGUGCACAUGAAUGCAGGCACUCAUGGGGACCAAAAGAGGAAUACUUCGUGCCAGCAGAAGAAUCCAGCCUCUGUGACAACCAUAGAAAUGUGCUGUUCUUUAAUCGCUGGCUGACUCAGUUGUGGUGAACACCAGAGGAACAAGCUUUUUGGUUUAAGUUCUUUCUGUGUCUUUGGGUGGGCCAUCUUGUGUGUGGGGGCAAAUGGCAACAUGCAGUCAGGGUGGCUGUACAGGUGGCCCUUGGAGAAAGGACAGCUGUAAAUGCCCCCACCCCCACCCCGUUUGCAGAAAGCCAAGUUACUUCUUUCAUUUGGAGAGAAUGUAGCAAUUACUUGAAAUUA